AGAGACAGCAGUAGCCACGGUAACACGGAGGGUGCAAGCGUUACUCGGAAUCACUGGGCGUAAAGGACGCGUAGGCGGAUUAUCAAGUCUCUUGUGAAAUCUAACUGCUUAACCGUUAAACUGCUUGGGAAACUGAUAACCUAGAGUAAGGGAGAGGCAGAUGGAAUUCUUGGUGUAGGGGUAAAAUCCGUUGAUAUCAAGAAGAAUACCUAUUGCGAAGGCGAUCUGCUGGAACUUAACUGACGCUAAUGCGUGAAAGCGUGGGGAGCAAACAGGAUUAGAUACCCGCGUAGUCCCUGUCUCUUAUAC
rnacentral:rRNA from 1 species